UACAGGGGGUGCAAACGUUGCUCGGAAUUAUUGGGCGUAAAGCGCGCGUAGGCGGCCACUUAAGUCGGAUGUGAAAGCCCCUGGCUCAACUGGGGAAGUGCACCCGAAACUGAAUGGCUUGAGUGCGAAAGAGGGUCGCGGAAUUCCCGGUGUAGAGGUGAAAUUCGUAGAUAUCGGGAGGAACACCGGUGGCGAAGGCGGCAUCCUGGACCAACACUGACACUGAGGAGCGAAAGCCAGGGGAGCAAACGGG
rnacentral:rRNA from 1 species